CUUGGUCAUUUAGAGGAAGUAAAAGUCGUAACAAGGUUUCCGUAGGUGAACCUGCGGAAGGAUCAUUACCGAGUUCAUGCCCUCACGGGUAGACCUCCCACCCUUUGUAUACCUUACCUUUUGUUGCUUUGGCGGGCCGCCUAGCUACUGGCUUCGGCUGGUAAGUGCCCGCCAGAGGACCCAAACCCAAACCCAUUUAUAGUGUCGUCUGAGAAAAAGUUUAAUAUUUAAAACUUUCAACAACGGAUCUCUUGGCUCUGGCAUCGAUGAAGAACGCAGCGAAAUGCGAUAAGUAAUGUGAAUUGCAGAAUUCAGAGAAUCGUCGAAUCUUUGAACGCACAUUGCGCCCCUUGGUAUUCCGAGGGGCAUGCCUAUUCGAGCGUCAUUAUCACCCCUCAAGCUCCGGCUUGGUGUUGAGGCCUGCUGUAAAGGCACCCUCUAAAAUCAGUGGCAGUGCCGUCAGGCUCUAAGCGUAGUAAUUUCAUCGCUAUAGACCCGAGCGGACCCUCGCCAGAAACCCCCCAUUUUUUAAUGAUUGACCUCGGAUUAGGUACGGAUACCCGCUGAACUUAAGCAUAUCAAUAAGCGGAGGA
rnacentral:rRNA from 1 species